GCCAGCUUAGCUCAGUGGUAGAGCAACUGUUUUGUAAACAGAAGAUCGUCGGUUCGAUUCCGACAGCUGGCU
rnacentral:tRNA from 1 species